rnacentral:rRNA from 1 species
AGCAUAUCAAUAAGCGGAGGAAAAGAAACCAACAGGGAUUGCCCCAGUAACGGCGAGUGAAGCGGCAAGAGCUCAAAUUUGAAAGCUGGCUCCUUCGGGGUCCGCAUUGUAAUUUGCAGAGGAUGCUUCGGGAGCGGUCCCUAUCUAAGUUCCCUGGAACGGGACGUCAUAGAGGGUGAAAAUCCCGUAUGGGAUGGGGUGUCCGCGCCCGUGUGAAGCUCCUUCGACGAGUCGAGUUGUUUGGGAAUGCAGCUCUAAAUGGGUGGUAAAUUUCAUCUAAAGCUAAAUAUUGGCCGGAGACCGAUAGCGCACAAGUAGAGUGAUCGAAAGAUGAAAAGCACUUUGAAAAGAGAGUUAAAAAGCACGUGAAAUUGUUGAAAGGGAAGCGCUUGCGACCAGACUCGCUCGCGGGGUUCAGCCGGCAUUCGUGCCGGUGUACUUCCCCGCGGGCGGGCCAACGUCGGUUUGGGCGGUCGGUCAAAGGCCCUCGGAAGGUAACGCCCCCAGGGGCGUCUUAUAGCCGAGGGUGCAAUGCGACCUGCCUAGACCGAGGAACGCGCUUCGGCUCGGACGUUGGCAUAAUGGUCGUAAGCGACCCGUCUUGAAACACGGACCAAGGAGUCUAACAUCUACGCGAGUGUUCGGGUGUCAAACCCGUGCGCGCAGUGAAAGCGAACGGAGGUGGGAACCCUUUGGGUGCACCAUCGACCGAUCCUGAUGUCUUCGGAUGGAUUUGAGUAAGAGCGUAGCUGUUGGGACCCGAAAGAUGGUGAACUAUGCCUGAAUAGGGCGAAGCCAGAGGAAACUCUGGUGGAGGCUCGUAGCGGUUCUGACGUGCAAAUCGAUCGUCGAAUUUGGGUAUAGGGGGCGAAAGACUAAUCGAACCAUCUGGUAGCUGGUUCCUGCCGA